rnacentral:rRNA from 1 species
UAUUAACGCUGGCGGCGUGCCUAAUACAUGCAAGUCGAGCGAACAGACGAGGAGCUUGCUCCUCUGACGUUAGCGGCGGACGGGUGAGUAACACGUGGAUAACCUACCUAUAAGACUGGGAUAACUUCGGGAAACCGGAGCUAAUACCGGAUAAUAUAUUGAACCGCAUGGUUCAAUAGUGAAAGACGGUUUUGCUGUCACUUAUAGAUGGAUCCGCGCCGCAUUAGCUAGUUGGUAAGGUAACGGCUUACCAAGGCAACGAUGCGUAGCCGACCUGAGAGGGUGAUCGGCCACACUGGAACUGAGACACGGUCCAGACUCCUACGGGAGGCAGCAGUAGGGAAUCUUCCGCAAUGGGCGAAAGCUUGACGGAGCAACGCCGCGUGAGUGAUGAAGGUCUUCGGAUCGUAAAACUCUGUUAUUAGGGAAGAACAAAUGUGUAAGUAACUAUGCACGUCUUGACGGUACCUAAUCAGAAAGCCACGGCUAACUACGUG